rnacentral:rRNA from 1 species
UGGGGAAUAUUGGACAAUGGGCGAAAGCCUGAUCCAGCCAUGCCGCGUGUGUGAAGAAGGUCUUCGGGUUGUAAAGUACUUUCAGCGAGGAGGAAGGCGGUAAGGUUAAUAACCUUAUCGAUUGACGUUACUCGCAGAAGAAGCACCGGCUAACUCCGUGCCAGCAGCCGCGGUAAUACGGAGGGUGCAAGCGUUAAUCGGAAUUACUGGGCGUAAAGCGCACGCAGGCGGUCUGUCAAGUCGGAUGUGAAAUCCCCGGGCUCAACCUGGGAACUGCAUUCGAAACUGGCAGGCUAGAGUCUUGUAGAGGGGGGUAGAAUUCCAGGUGUAGCGGUGAAAUGCGUAGAGAUCUGGAGGAAUACCGGUGGCGAAGGCGGCCCCCUGGACAAAGACUGACGCUCAGGUGCGAAAGCGUGGGGAGCAAACA